rnacentral:rRNA from 1 species
CAAUGGCCGAGAGGCUGAACCAGCCAAGUCGCGUGAAGGAAGAAGGAUCUAUGGUUUGUAAACUUCUUUUAUAGGGGAAUAAAGUGGAGGACGUGUCCUUUUUUGUAUGUACCCUAUGAAUAAGCAUCGGCUAACUCCGUGCCAGCAGCCGCGGUAAUACGGAGGAUGCGAGCGUUAUCCGGAUUUAUUGGGUUUAAAGGGUGCGUAGGUGGUCUUUUAAGUCAGCGGUGAAAGUUUGUGGCUCAACCAUAAAAUUGCCAUUGAAACUGGGAGACUUGAGUAUGUUUGAGGUAGGCGGAAUGCGUGGUGUAGCGGUGAAAUGCAUAGAUAUCACGCAGAACUCCGAUUGCGAAGGCAGCUUACUAAACCAUAACUGACACUGAAGCACGAAAGCGUGGGGAUCAAACAGGAUUAGAUACCCUGGUAGUCCACGCAGUAAACGAUGAUUACUAGGAGUUUGCGAUAUAAUGUAAGCUCUACAGCGAAAGCGUUAAGUAAUCCACCUGGGGAGUACGCCGGCAACGGUGAAACUCAAAGGAAUUGACGGGGGCCCGCACAAGCGGAGGAACAUGUGGUUUAAUUCGAUGAUACGCGAGGAACCUUACCCGGGUUUGAACGUAGUCUGACCGGAGUGGAAACACUCUUUCUAGCAAUAGCAGAUUACGAGGUGCUGCAUGGUUGUCGUCAGCUCGUGCCGUGAGGUGUCGGCUUAAGUGCCAUAACGAGCGCAACCCUUGCCGUUAGUUACUAACAAGUAGUGUUGAGGACUCUAGCGGGACUGCCAGCGUAAGCUGUGAGGAAGGCGGGGAUGACGUCAAAUCAGCACGGCCCUUACAUCCGGGGCGACACACGUGUUACAAUGGCAUGGACAAAGGGCAGCUACCUGGUGACAGGAUGCUAAUCUCCAAACCAUGUCUCAGUUCGGAUCGGAGUCUGCAACUCGACUCCGUGAAGCUGGAUUCGCUAGUAAUCGCGCAUCAGCCAUGGCGCGGUGAAUACGUUCCCGGGCCUUGUACACACCGCCCGUCAAGCCAUGGGAGCCGGGGGUACCUGAAGUCCGUAACCGCGAGGAUCGGCCUAGGGUAAAACUGGUGACUGGGGCUAAGUCGUAACAAGGUAGCCGUACCGGAAGGUGCGGCUG